GUAAAAUAAAGAACCCAAAACUUUAAGGGCUAAAGGGAGUCCACCAGCAUGGUUCACCACUUGUAUUGAAAGUUCCAUAAAAUCUUUUUUUGGUGAUUUUUCUCUAAAAGCAUGCCUACUGAACAAUUCAAGUGCUUCAUCCUCAGAUAAUAGUUGGACUUCAUACACAUUAUCCCCAACGUGACUGAUUAACAGGUGCUUGUCUCUUGCUGUUAAAAUAAUUCUGCUACCCAUUCCAAACCACUCUGGC